UACGUAGGUGGCAAGCGUUGUCCGGAAUUAUUGGGCGUAAAGCGCACGUAGGCGGUCUGUUAUGUCGGCUGUGAAAGCCCUUGGCUCAACUGAGGAAGUGCAUCCGAAACUGGCAGGCUAGAGUACGUAAGAGGGUCGCGGAAUUCCCGGUGUAGAGGUGAAAUUCGUAGAUAUCGGGAGGAACACCGGUGGCGAAGGCGGCGACCUGGGACGAUACUGACGCUGAGGUGCGAAAGCGUGGGGAGCAAACAGG
rnacentral:rRNA from 1 species